GACGAACGCUGGCGGCGUGCCUAAUACAUGCAAGUCGAACGCUUCUUUCCUCCCGAGUGCUUGCACUCAAUUGGAAAGAGGAGUGGCGGACGGGUGAGUAACACGUGGGUAACCUACCCAUCAGAGGGGGAUAACACUUGGAAACAGGUGCUAAUACCGCAUAACAGUUUAUGCCGCAUGGCAUAAGAGUGAAAGGCGCUUUCGGGUGUCGCUGAUGGAUGGACCCGCGGUGCAUUAGCUAGUUGGUGAGGUAACGGCUCACCAAGGCCACGAUGCAUAGCCGACCGGAGAGGGUGAUCGGCCACACUGGGAGUGAGACACGGACCAGACUCCUAAGGGAGGCAGCAGUAGGGAAUCUUCGGCAAUGGACGAAAGUCUGACCGAGCAACGCCGCGUGAGUGAAGAAGGUGUUCGGAUCGUAAAACUCUGUUGUUAGAGAAGAACAAGGACGUUAGUAACUGAACGUCCCCUGACGGUAUCUAACCAGAAAGCCACGGCUAACUACGUG
rnacentral:rRNA from 1 species